rnacentral:lncRNA from 1 species
GGGCUGAGGGGACAACGGUCAGCGACAGGACACGGCCGGACACAGCUGGACACAGCCAGACACAGCCGGACCCUGCCUGGACACCAAAUCCAUCCCAAAUCCACCCCAAAUAGAUCCCAAACCAAUCCCAAAUCGAUCCCAGAUCCCCCCAAUGGAUCCCAGAUCCCGGCUGGAUCCCGUACCGGUGACGGAGAGCUUCUCGAUGGCGCGGCGCUCGCCGCGGCUGCAGUGCGGGGGCAGGGAGUAGCCCUUGAUGCUGCGGCCGGUGCGGACGCGGCUGCUCAGGACGUAUUUGGGGUCCAGGUCCUCGCCCCCCUGCGACCCCCCCCCAAAAAAAAAUUCCCACUCAAGGGGGGGGCGGCCACAGCCACCCCCAAAAAAUGCUGGAUUCGCCGGGAAAUGAUCCCAAAAAUCUCCCCAAAAUUAUCCCAGAAUCAUCUCAAAAUCUCCUCGAAAUCAUCCCAAAAUCCCCCCAAAAUUAUCCCAAAAUCAUCCCAAAAUUAUCCCCAAAUCACCCCAAAAUCCAGCUCGAAAUCACCCCAAAAUCCCUCAAAAAUCAUCCCAAAAUCAUCCCAAAAUCACCUCAAAAUCAUCCAAAAAUCACCCCAAAAUCCCCCAAAAAUCAUCCCAAAAUCAUCCCAAAAUCAUCCUCGAAAUCAUCCCAAAAUCCCCCUUGAAAUCCAGCUCGAAAGCAUCCCAAAAUCAUCCCAAAAUCAUCCCAAAAUUAUCCCAAAAUCCCCCCAAAAUCCAGCUUGAAAUCAUCCCAAAAUCCCCCCAAAAUCCCCCUCAAAAUCACCCCAAAAUCACCCCAAAAUCCCCCAAAAUCAUCCCAAAAAUCAUCUCAAAAUAAUCCCCAAAUCUCCCCAAAAUCCCCCUCAAAAUCUCCCCCAAAAUCCCCUCCUGAGACCCCUCCCAAAUUCCGGGGACCCCUCCCAAAUUCCGGGGACCCCUCCCAAAUUUUGGGGACCCCUCCCAGAUUCCGGGGACCCCUCCCAGAUUUCGGGGACCCCCUGACCUUGAGGUUCUCGUGGUUGAGGUCGGUGACCCCUCAAGGUGUUCCUGUCACCCCUUCCUGACCCUCCUGAGACUCCACCCAAAUUUUGGGGACGCCCUGAAGAU